rnacentral:rRNA from 1 species
UACGUAGGGGGCGAGCGUUGUCCGAAGUUACUGGGCGUAAAGAGCGCGUAGGCGGACCCUUAAGUGAGGGGUGAAAGGUUCGGGCUCAACCCGGAGAGUGCCUUUCAUACUGGGGGUCUUGAGUGCGGGAGAGGCAAGUGGAAUGGUCGGUGUAGCGGUGAAAUGCGUAGAUAUCAAGCGGAACACCGGUGGCGAAGGCGGCCUUCUGGACAGUGACUGACGCUGAGACGCGAAAGCGUGGGGAGCAAACAGG